GCAUGUAAGGUGAUCUGGCUGCAGUAUCUGUCGCCCCAUGAUCACCAAGGUUGAUGUGGCUGCUCUGGCUGGCUGAGUGGGUGUCCCCUUCCUCCCUCGCUGCUCCACCUGUGACCUCCUGAAGCUGCACGCUCGCUCGGAGAGGACAGUCAUCCCCGAUCGAGGAGGACCGCUUCCUCGGUCCAGAGUAUGAGCAGUUGCACUGCCCUGCUAGAACCUCCAGACGAGCUCUCAGAAUUUAAGUUGAUGACAUGGUACAGCCAAAGCAGGAGAAAGCAUAAUGUCUUUUUGGGGAAUAAUGAUUGAAUUG
rnacentral:snRNA from 1 species